rnacentral:rRNA from 1 species
GGUUAAGCGACUAAGCGUACACGGUGGAUGCCCUGGCAGUCAGAGGCGAUGAAGGACGUGCUAAUCUGCGAAAAGCGUCGGUAAGGUGAUAUGAACCGUUACAACCGGCGAUGUCCGAAUGGGGAAACCCAGUGCAAUUCGUUGCACUAUCGUUAACUGAAUACAUAGGUUAACGAGGCGAACCGGGGGAACUGAAACAUCUAAGUACCCCGAGGAAAAGAAAUCAACCGA